rfam:Myotis lucifugus cont2.36796, whole genome shotgun sequence.
ACCUCAUCUUUGUCAGUGCACAAAAUGGCGC